rnacentral:rRNA from 1 species
GAAGUCCACUGAACCUUAUCAUUUAGAGGAAGGAGAAGUCGUAACAAGGUUUCCGUAGGUGAACCUGCGGAAGGAUCAUUGUCGAUGGCAAAAAAAAGACGAGGGAGACCCGCGAACACCGUUACCCGAUCGGAUGGGGGUGGGACGCUGCGCCCGCCGCGGCACCGGCUUGAGGCCGGGCGUGGGCGUGGUCGGCGAUCCUCUCCCGCCGCGGCACCGGCGCGAGGCCGGGCGCGGCGAACGACCGACGCACCCACGGCGCGAGUGGCGCCAAGGACCCCGAAGAGGAGCGCGGGGGAGGAGGGCGGGCGCAAUGCCGUCCCCUCCGUCGUCGCGAGAGGGAAUCGAAUGUGCUGUGUUGAAAUAAACACUACACGCAAAAAAGAGUCGGACGACUCUCGGCAACGGAUAUCUCGGCUCUCGCAUCGAUGAAGAACGUAGCGAAAUGCGAUACUUGGUGUGAAUUGCAGAAUCCCGCGAACCAUCGAGUCUUUGAACGCAAGUUGCGCCCGAGGCCUCCCGGCCGAGGGCACGCCUGCCUGGGCGUCACGCACCGCGCUGCCCGCACCCCCGACGGGGUUUGACGGGCGGAGAUUGGCCGACCGUGCGCCUUGCGUGCGCGGCGGGCUGAAAGCUAUGUAUCCCGGAGUGCCCCCGGAGUUCAGGGGUGUCGGCACGGCGUUGGGUGGUCUCGAGGGCUCCCCCGGAGGGAGCCGCUCCGAUCGGACGCCGCGCGCGCCGGCCGCUCCGAGGGGACGUAGUAGGCGCCUCCCCACCGCGGGACUCUGCGUCGCGACCCCAGGUCAGGCGGGGACACCCGCCGAGUUUAAGCAUAUAAAUAAGCGGAGGAAAAGAAACUAAGCAGGAUU